rnacentral:tRNA from 1 species
UGGGAUAUAGCUCAGUGGUAGAGCGCUUGCCUACCAUGCAUGAGACCCUGGGUUUGACCCCCAGCACCACAA